AUUGAACGCUGGCGGCAGGCCUAACACAUGCAAGUCGAACGGUAACAGGGAUCAGCUUGCUGAUUCGCUGACGAGUGGCGGACGGGUGAGUCAUGUCUGGGAAACUGCCUGAUGGAGGGGGAUAACUACUGGAAACGGUAGCUAAUACCGCAUAACGUCGCAAGACCAAAGAGGGGGACCUUCGGGCGUCUUGCCAUCGGAUGUGCCCAGAUGGGAUUAGCUAGUAGGUGGGGUAACGGCUCACCUAGGCGACGAUCCCUAGCUGGUCUGAGAGGAUGACCAGCCACACUGGAACUGAGACACGGUCCAGACUCCUACGGGAGGCAGCAGUGGGGAAUAUUGCACAAUGGGCGCAAGCCUGAUGCAGCCAUGCCGCGUGUAUGAAGAAGGCCUUCGGGUUGUAAAGUACUUUCAGCGGGGAGGAAGGGAGUAAAGUUAAUACCUUUGCUCAUUGACGUUACCCGCAGAAGAAGCACCGGCUAACUCCGUG
rnacentral:rRNA from 1 species